rnacentral:rRNA from 1 species
CCUACGGGGUGCAGCAGUGAGGAAUAUUGGUCAAUGGACGAGAGUCUGAACCAGCCAAGUAGCGUGAAGGAUGACUGCCCUAUGGGUUGUAAACUUCUUUUAUAUGGGACUAAAAUGUUCCACGUGUGGGAUUUUGUAUGUACCAUAUGAAUAAGGAUCGGCUAACUCCGUGCCAGCAGCCGCGGUAAUACGGAGGAUCCGAGCGUUAUCCGGAUUUAUUGGGUUUAAAGGGAGCGUAGGUGGAUUGUUAAGUCAGUUGUGAAAGUUUGCGGCUCAACCGUAAAAUUGCAGUUGAAACUGGCAGUCUUGAGUACAGUAGAGGUGGGCGGAAGUCGUGGUGUAGCGGUGAAAUGCUUAGAUAUCACGAAGAACUCCGAUUGCGAAGGCAGUUCACUGGACUGCAACUGACACUGAGGCUCGAAAGUGUGGGUAUCAAACAGGAUUAGAUACCCGAGUAGUC